rfam:Candidatus Staskawiczbacteria bacterium RIFOXYA12_FTLL_37_10 rifixya3_full_scaffold_619, whole genome shotgun sequence.
AUAUUUGAGAGUUUGAUCCUAGCUCAGGGUGAACGCUGGUAACGUGGAUACCGGCAUGCAAGUCGAGCGAUCCCGCAAGGGAUAGCGGCGAACGGCUUAGUAACACGUAGGUACAAACCUUCAACACAUGUAUAGCCAGCCGAAAGGUUGGGUAAUUCAUGAUAGUCCCGCAAGGGUAAAGGGUGUCCGCAAGGAUUACCGGUUGAAGAUUGGCCUGCGGCCUAUCAGAUAGUUGGCAGGGUAACGGCCUACCAAGUCUAUGACGGGUAGGGGGCGUGAGAGCGCGACCCCCAAGAAUGGGACUGAGAACGGCCCAUACUCCUACGGGAGGCUGCAGUCGAGAAUCUUCCGCAAUGGGCGAAAGCCUGACGGAGCGACGUUACGUGAAUGAAGAAGCCCUUCGGGGUGUAAAGUUCUUUUAUGUGGGAGGAACCCCGCCUUUGGCGGGGAGACAGUACCACAUGAAUAAGGGGAUGCUAAUUCUGUGCCAGCAGCAGCGGUAAGACAGAAUCCUCAAGCGUUACCCGGAUUUAUUGGGCGUAAAGGGUCCGUAGGUGGCAUAGUAAGUUGAAAGUUAAAGUUCAUCGGCUUAACCUUUGAAAUGCUUUCAAUACUGCUAUACUAGAGGGCGUUAGAGGCUAACGGAACCGACGAAGUAGGGGUGGAAUCCGUUGAUAUCGUCGGGAACACCAAAAGCGAAGGCAGUUAGCUGGGACGACCCUGACACUGAGGGACGAAAGCGUGGGGAGAAAAAAGGAUUAGAUACCCUUGUAUUCCACGCUGUAAACGAUGAAUACUGGCUAUUGGUAGUGUCGACCCUGCCAGUGGCGAAGCUAACGCGUUAAGUAUUCCGCCUGGGAAGUACGGUGGCAACACUAAAACUCAAAGGAAUAGACGGGGACUCACACAAGCGGUGGACCAUGUGGCUUAAUUCGACAACAAACGAAGAACCUUAUCCAGGUCUUGACAUGCUAGUGAAAGCUCUAAGAAAUUAGAGCCCUCCACAAGACACUAGCACAGGUGCUGCAUGGCUGUCGUCAGUUCGUGUCUUGAGACGUACCGUUAAUUCGGGUAACGAACGCAACCCUUGCCCUAUGUUUUAAAUGUCAUAGGGGACUGCCCGAGAUAAUUGGGAGGAAGGCGAGGAUGACGCCAAGUCCGCAUGGCCCUUUGAUGACCUGGGCUGCACACGUGGUACAAUGGCCGGUACAAUGGGUACGAUGCCGAGAGGCGGAGGUUAAUCCCAUCAAAGCCGGUCUCAGUUCGGAUUGAGGGCUGCAACUCGCCCUCAUGAAGCCGGAAUCGCUAGUAAUCGCCAAUCAGCUACGUGGCGAUGAAUACGUUCCUGAGUCUUGUACUCGGGAUGCCCGGCAGUUUUAGAAAAAAGUAAGUGAAAAUCUUACUA